rnacentral:ncRNA from 1 species
UCAAAGCACGGUGAAGGAGUUCACCGCGAAACGCCGCCAGGGACACACCCUCGUGGCUGAUGACUCCUACGGCAUA